GUUAUAUGGUCAAGUGAAGAAGCGCAUACGGUGGAUGCCUUGGCAGUCAGAGGCGAUGAAAGACGUGGUAGCCUGCGAAAAGCUUCGGGGAGUCGGCAAACAGACUGUGAUCCGGAGAUGUCUGAAUGGGGGAACCCAGCCAUCAUAAGAUGGUUAUCUUGUACUGAAUACAUAGGUGCAAGAGGCGAACCAGGGGAACUGAAACAUCUAAGUACCCUGAGGAAAAGAAAUCAACCGAGAUUCCCUUAGUAGUGGCGAGCGAACGGGGACCAGCCCUUAAGUUGUAUUGAGAUUAGCGGAACGUUCUGGAAAGGACGGCCAUAGUGGGUGAUAGCCCUGUACGCGAAAAUCCCUUUGUAAUGAAAUCGAGUAGGACGGGGCACGAGAAACCUUGUCUGAAUAUGGGGGGACCAUCCUCCAAGGCUAAAUACUACUGACUGACCGAUAGUGAACCAGUACCGUGAGGGAAAGGCGAAAAGAACCGCGGAGAGCGGAGUGAAAUAGAUCCUGAAACCGUAUGCGUACAAGCAGUGGGAGCCCACUUUGUUGGGUGACUGCGUACCUUUUGUAUAAUGGGUCAGCGACUUAUUUUCAGUGGCGAGCUUAACCGAAUAGGGGAGGCGUAGCGAAAGCGAGUCUUAAUAGGGCGUCUAGUCGCUGGGAAUAGACCCGAAACCGGGCGAUCUAUCCAUGGGCAGGUUGAAGGUUGGGUAACACUAACUGGAGGACCGAACCGACUACCGUUGAAAAGUUAGCGGAUGACCUGUGGAUCGGAGUGAAAGGCUAAUCAAGCUCGGAGAUAGCUGGUUCUCCUCGAAAGCUAUUUAGGUAGCGCCUCAUGUAUCACUGUAGGGGGUAGAGCACUGUUUCGGCUAGGGGGUCAUCCCGACUUACCAAACCGAUGCAAACUCCGAAUACCUACAAGUGCCGAGCAUGGGAGACACACGGCGGGUGCUAACGUCCGUCGUGAAAAGGGAAACAACCCAGACCGUCAGCUAAGGUCCCAAAGUCAUGGUUAAGUGGGAAACGAUGUGGGAAGGCUUAGACAGCUAGGAGGUUGGCUUAGAAGCAGCCACCCUUUAAAGAAAGCGUAAUAGCUCACUAGUCGAGUCGGCCUGCGCGGAAGAUGUAACGGGGCUCAAACCAUGCACCGAAGCUACGGGUAUCAUCUUAUGAUGAUGCGGUAGAGGAGCGUUCUGUAAGCCUGUGAAGGUGAGUUGAGAAGCUUGCUGGAGGUAUCAGAAGUGCGAAUGCUGACAUGAGUAACGACAAUGGGUGUGAAAAACACCCACGCCGAAAGACCAAGGUUUCCUGCGCAACGUUAAUCGACGCAGGGUUAGUCGGUCCCUAAGGCGAGGCUGAAAAGCGUAGUCGAUGGAAAACAGGUUAAUAUUCCUGUACUUCUGGUUAUUGCGAUGGAGGGACGGAGAAGGCUAGGCCAGCCUGGCGUUGGUUGUCCAGGUUUAAGGUGGUAGGCUGAGAUCUUAGGUAAAUCCGGGAUCUCAAGGCCGAGAGCUGAUGACGAGUGUUCUUUAGAACACGAAGUGGUUGAUGCCAUGCUUCCAAGAAAAGCUUCUAAGCUUCAGGUAACCAGGAACCGUACCCCAAACCGACACAGGUGGUUGGGUAGAGAAUACCAAGGCGCUUGAGAGAACUCGGGUGAAGGAACUAGGCAAAAUGGCACCGUAACUUCGGGAGAAGGUGCGCCGGUGAGGGUGAAGCAUUUACUGCGUAAGCCCACGCCGGUCGAAGAUACCAGGCCGCUGCGACUGUUUAUUAAAAACACAGCACUCUGCAAACACGAAAGUGGACGUAUAGGGUGUGACGCCUGCCCGGUGCCGGAAGGUUAAUUGAUGGGGUUAGCGCAAGCGAAGCUCUUGAUCGAAGCCCCGGUAAACGGCGGCCGUAACUAUAACGGUCCUAAGGUAGCGAAAUUCCUUGUCGGGUAAGUUCCGACCUGCACGAAUGGCGUAACGAUGGCGGCGCUGUCUCCACCCGAGACUCAGUGAAAUUGAAAUCGCUGUGAAGAUGCAGUGUAUCCGCGGCUAGACGGAAAGACCCCGUGAACCUUUACUAUAGCUUUGCACUGGACUUUGAAUUUGCUUGUGUAGGAUAGGUGGGAGGCUUUGAAGCGUGGACGCCAGUCUGCGUGGAGCCAACCUUGAAAUACCACCCUGGCAACUUUGAGGUUCUAACUCAGGUCCGUUAUCCGGAUCGAGGACAGUGUAUGGUGGGUAGUUUGACUGGGGCGGUCUCCUCCUAAAGAGUAACGGAGGAGUACGAAGGUGCGCUCAGACCGGUCGGAAAUCGGUCGUAGAGUAUAAAGGCAAAAGCGCGCUUGACUGCGAGACAGACACGUCGAGCAGGUACGAAAGUAGGUCUUAGUGAUCCGGUGGUUCUGUAUGGAAGGGCCAUCGCUCAACGGAUAAAAGGUACUCCGGGGAUAACAGGCUGAUACCGCCCAAGAGUUCAUAUCGACGGCGGUGUUUGGCACCUCGAUGUCGGCUCAUCACAUCCUGGGGCUGAAGCCGGUCCCAAGGGUAUGGCUGUUCGCCAUUUAAAGUGGUACGCGAGCUGGGUUUAGAACGUCGUGAGACAGUUCGGUCCCUAUCUGCCGUGGACGUUUGAGAUUUGAGAGGGGCUGCUCCUAGUACGAGAGGACCGGAGUGGACGAACCUCUGGUGUUCCGGUUGUCACGCCAGUGGCAUUGCCGGGUAGCUAUGUUCGGAAAAGAUAACCGCUGAAAGCAUCUAAGCGGGAAACUUGCCUCAAGAUGAGAUCUCACUGGAACCUUGAGUUCCCUAAAGGGCCGUCGAAGACUACGACGUUGAUAGGUUGGGUGUGUAAGCGCUGUGAGGCGUUGAGCUAACCAAUACUAAUUGCCCGUGAGGCUUGACCAUAUAACACCCAAGCAAUU
rnacentral:rRNA from 2 species